UGGGGAAUCUUGCGCAAUGGGCGAAAGCCUGACGCAGCCAUGCCGCGUGAAUGAUGAGGGUCUUAGGAUUGUAAAAUUCUUUCACUGGGGACGAUAAUGACGGUACCCGGAGAAGAAGCCCCGGCUAACUUCGUG
rnacentral:rRNA from 1 species